AUUGAACGCUGGCGGCAUGCUUUACACAUGCAAGUCGAACGGCAGCGGGGGUGCUUGCACCUGCCGGCGAGUGGCGAACGGGUGAGUAAUGCAUCGGAACGUGCCCAGUAAUGGGGGAUAACACAUCGAAAGAUGUGCUAAUACCGCAUACGCCCUGAGGGGGAAAGCGGGGGAUCGUAAGACCUCGCGUUAUUGGAGCGGCCGAUGUCGGAUUAGCUAGUUGGUGGGGUAAAGGCCUACCAAGGCGACGAUCCGUAGCUGGUCUGAGAGGACGACCAGCCACACUGGGACUGAGACACGGCCCAGACUCCUACGGGAGGCAGCAGUGGGGAAUUUUGGACAAUGGGCGAAAGCCUGAUCCAGCCAUGCCGCGUGAGUGAAGAAGGCCUUCGGGUUGUAAAGCUCUUUCAGACGGAAAGAAAUCUCCUGGGUGAAUAUCCCGGGAGGAUGACGGUACCGUAAGAAGAAGCACCGGCUAACUACGUGCCAGCCGCCGCCGUAA
rnacentral:rRNA from 1 species